rnacentral:rRNA from 1 species
UACGUAGGUGGCGAGCGUUGUCCGGAUUUACUGGGCGUAAAGAGCGCGCAGGCGGCUGGUCAAGUCCGAUGUGAAAGCUCCCGGCUUAACUGGGAAAUUGCAUCGGAAACUGAUCGGCUGGAAGGUGGGAGAGGGUAGCGGAAUUCCCGGUGUAGUGGUGAAAUGCGUAGAUAUCGGGAGGAACACCAGUGGCGAAAGCGGCUACCUGGCCCAUUCUUGACGCUGAGGCGCGAAAGCUAGGGGAGCGAACAGG